CCCAAGCCUUGGCUAGGCGCGCGCGCGCACGGGGUCGGGCGCUCCCGGGCGGCGGUGGCACCACGUAGCCGCCUCCUUCCACCGCUCGCUUUAUCCCCGCCCCUUCUCGGGCCAACCCCAAGCGCCGCUGACCCCGAACGUCGCUGCGGGGUAGGUAGGGGGUGGGAGGGUGGAGGACCGCAGGCGAGAGGGAGAAGGAAGGGCGCCCGGGGAGCAGGCUGGCAGAGUGACCGGGAUUGAUGAGCGGCGCAGCUCUGGAGGGACGCGGGCGAGAGGGUCGCUCCUCGGGGAGAGGGCUGGCCUAUGAUAAGAGGAGAUGAAUGCCUGCUAAAGCGACCAGAAGGCUCUCAGUAAAAAGUAUUCACUAGGUAUCAAUAGAAUCUGCAAAACGAAGAGGUGCUUGAAAGAUGUGAAAGAGGAAACUUAAAGAGAAACCCAGAUGGUACAUCUCUCUUCCUGGCUAGAUAGAUGGAAUGUACAGCCAGAGGAUUGGAUGAGGUCAUCGACGGAGAGAAUGCAGAGAGAAUCCUGGGGCUCACCAACAUGAAGAAUUUGGGACAAGAAAGAAGAUCCAGCAGAGAAGACUGAAAGAAGGCAACUAAUGAAAUAGGAGAGAACCUGGAGAGCACAGAGUCUUAGAGGCCAAGAAAGUGGUUUAAUAUAAUCCGUAUCAAAGCAUUUGUGGUUUAUUUUUGUUAACUGACAAAAGGAUUCUAAAACAUACCUGAAAAGUAUAAUUCACACCUAGGAUAAUGGAUCAUUCUGUCACAUUGUUCCUUUUUCACAGCUGAUAUGAACAUGAUAUUUUCAUGACUUUGUAAAAUAAAAAUGGAAUCUUUCUAAUUUUUUUAAAAAAACUGCUUACUUAUGCAAGCCUUCUGUCUCUCACUGUAUAACCCCUCCACUUUUAUACGGGUCACACAUGUUUCUGUCACUUUCCUGGAGCCCUUGUAGCAAAUUAAUAACAUGUAGCACAUGCUUGAAGAAAAAUUUGUCUAGGACAUUUUGUUUUUGAGAUUCAUAAAUUGACUCUAUUUUACAUAAGAAUCUAUUAUGCCAUAGGAAGCUUAUUAAACCCUUGAGCAGGAACAAAUUAUUCAAUAAAUGGUGAUGAGAUGAAUGCCU
rnacentral:lncRNA from 10 species